UACAGAGGCCUCGAGCGUUAGGCGGAAUCACUGGGCUUAAAGCGUGUGUAGGUGGAUGCCUAAGUACCUUGUGAAAUCUCCCGGCUUAACUGGGAGGGGUCAUUGGAAACUGAUGGGCUUGAGGCGGUGAGAGGGGUGUAGAAUUCCCGGUGUAGUGGUGGAAUGCGUAGAUAUCGGGAGGAAUACCAGUGGCGAAAGCGGCACCCGUGGACACUAGCCUGACGCUCAUGUGCGAAGGCGUGGGGAGCGAACGGGG
rnacentral:rRNA from 1 species